UACGGAUGCGAUGACGAUCGGCUGGU
rnacentral:piRNA from 1 species